rnacentral:rRNA from 1 species
CCCUACUAUGCCCAGCCGUAACACAACAAUCAAACCACCAAUUGUUCGCCAAAUAACUACGAGUAAAGACUUAAAAUUUAAAAGACUUGACGGUAUCUCACAACAACCUAGAGGAGCCUGUCUAAUAACCGAUACCCCACGAUCAACCCAACCCCGUCUAGCCCUAAUCAGCCUAUAUACCGCCGUCGCCAGCCUACCUUAUGAAAGAAACAAAGUGAGCCAAAUAGUUGUACACUAACACGACAGGUCGAGGUGUAGCUUAUGGCGGGGACAAGAUGGGCUACAUUUUCUAACACAGAAAAUACGAAUCAACUAUGAAAUAAAAAACUGAAGGCGGAUUUAGCAGUAUAUUAAGAACAAAAUACUUAAUCGAAACCAAAGCAAUGAGAUGCGUACACACCGCCCGUCAUCCCUGUCAACAACCACAACCUAUCUAUAAAACAAAACUAACACUAAAACA